GAGGCGCCAUAUUUACUUUCAGUUCGUGUUACCGGGAGAUUGUUUUAUCGUUUUAAAUUAAAAAUUUUCAGUUAAAAUUGGUUAAUUUUAGACUCUAUAGAGUGGUGGUCGUGCGCUAAAGGUUGCUUCUUCCGGCCCUUCCGGCAGAUUAUGCUCUGCCUAAACGUUACAAUCUACAGACGGCCCGUAUGUGCUCCGCUUUUGAGCUGCUUCGCAUGAUAUACAGAAGGCCGUUCGUGGAAAGGUUCCACGCAAGAUACAGCAACGACGCAACUUCUUGAAGUGACUGGAGGCAUCCCGUCGUCAUAUGACCGGAAGGAGCAUCCAAUAACGAUGAGAUAGUCCUAUCUCUGUUGCGACAGGAAGUAUUGUGAUGUUGAACGAGCUGCCGAUGAAGAUGACUGAAGGGAAAUCAGGAGGUUGUCCACCAGCAAGACGAGAAAAAAGCGUCGGACCGCUGCCGGAAGCGCAUUUAUUGGUUGUUCAGUAAAUCUUGCUUGCUUGCUAAACUUUCCAAGUCCUUAACGUUGCACAGACGAGCUUUUUCAUUUUCGGGGUCGGGCGACAGCGAUGAGACAGGCUUAUAUGCGAUGCGUUCCGAUAGGAAAUUCCUGAGACGGCAACAUAGGAGGCAAGAUGAAAUUCAUUCAUCAUUGGUGCGGAUCACACUGUUUCGCUCUGGUCUCAGGGAAAUGUAUAGGACGUCACCAGGAUCAUUCAGGAAUUAUCGCUGAAUUUCUUUGGGCAAUAGAGUGAUGUGCCCUAUACCGAGAAAAUACUGUCGAUCGGACAGAUGGGACAGAUGUAAUCAAAUAUUAAUGUAAAUUAGGAACUAGGAUGCAAAAUAAAACAAAAAUAUUAUUUAAUUGG